CGGGGUUUUGCCAUGUUGGCCAGGCUGGUCUGGAACUCCUGACCUCAAGUGAUUCGCCCACCUCGGCCUCCCAAAGUGCUGGGAUUACAGUAAUCUAUGCCAGCAAUUAUGACAAUGUUAGCAGACCAUGCAGCUCGUCAGCUGCUUGAUUUCAGCCAAAAACUGGAUAUCAACUUAUUAGAUAAUGUGGUGAAUUGCUUAUACCAUGGAGAAGGAGCCCAGCAAAGAAUGGCUCAAGAAGUACUGACACAUUUAAAGGAGCAUCCUGAUGCUUGGACAAGAGUCGACACAAUUUUGGAAUUUUCUCAGAAUAUGAAUACGAAAUACUAUGGACUACAAAUUUUGGAAAAUGUGAUAAAAACAAGGUGGAAGAUUCUUCCAA
rnacentral:lncRNA from 1 species